UACGGAGGGUGCAAGCGUUAGUCGGAAUUACUGGGAGUAAAGGGUGCGUAGGCGGGGAUGUAAGUUAGAUGUGAAAUACCGUUGCUCAACAACGGCCGUGCAUCUAAAACUGCAUUUCUAGAGGGAUAGCGGAGAAAACGGAAUUCCACGUGUAGCGGUGAAAUGCGUAGAUAUGUGGAAGAACACCUGUGGCGAAAGCGGUUUUCUAGCUUGACCCUGACGCUGAGGCACGAAAGCAAGGGGAGCAAACAGG
rnacentral:rRNA from 1 species